rnacentral:rRNA from 1 species
CGCCUGUUUAUCAAAAACAUGUCUUUUUGUAGUUAUAAAAGGUCUGACCUGCCCAGUGAUAAAAUAUUUAACGGCCGCGGUAUUUAUGACCGUGCAAAGGUAGCAUAAUCAUUAGUCUUUUAAUUGAGGGCUUGUAUGAAGGGUUUUACAAAAGAAAUUCUGUCUCUAUAAAUAAAAAUUGAAUUUAACUUUUAAGUGAAAAGGCUUAAAUAUCUCAAAGGGACGAUAAGACCCUAUAAAGUUUUAUAAUAAAUACAUUUUUAUUAAUAUUUUAAAAAUCUUGAUUUAGAUUUUGUUAAGUUGGGGAAACUAGAGUAUAAUUAUUAUUAAUUAUUCUUUGUAUAAUACAAAUAUAUUUGAGUAAAGUUUAAUGAUCCUUUAAUUAUUAGAGAUUUAAAGAUUAAAUUACUUUAGGGAUAACAGCGUUAUUUUUUUUAAGAGUUCUUAUCGAAAAAAGAGUUUAUGACCUCGAUGUUGAAUUAAAAUUUCUGUAUAAUGUAGUUGUUAUAUAAGAAGGUCUGUUCGACCUUUAAAUUUUUACGUGAUCUGAGUUCAGACCGGA